rnacentral:tRNA from 1 species
GCCUCGGUAGCUCAAUGGUAGAGCAGUUGACUCUUAAUCAAUUGGUUCGGCGUUCAAGUCGCCGCCGGGGCACCA